rnacentral:rRNA from 1 species
AUGAACGCUGGCGGCGUGCCUCAUACAUGCAAGUCGAGCGAACAGACGAGGAGCUUGCUCCUCUGACGUUAGCGGCGGACGGGUGAGUAACACGUGGAUAACCUACCUAUAAGACUGGGGUAACUUCGGGAAACCGGAGCUAAUACCGGAUAAUAUAUUGAACCGCAUGGUUCAAUAGUGAAAGACGGUUUUGCUGUCACUUAUAGAUGGAUCCGCGCCGCAUUAGCUAGUUGGUAAGGUAACGGCUUACCAAGGCAACGAUGCGUAGCCGACCUGAGAGGGUGAUCGGCCACACUGGAACUGAGACACGGUCCAGACUCCUACGGGAGGCAGCAGUAGGGAAUCUUCCGCAAUGGGCGAAAGCCUGACGGAGCAACGCCGCGUGAGUGAUGAAGGUCUUCGGAUCGUAAAACUCUGUUAUUAGGGAAGAACAAAUGUGUAAGUAACUAUGCACGUCUUGACGGUACCUAAUCAGAAAGCCACGGCUAACUACGUG